rnacentral:rRNA from 1 species
UACGGGGGGAGCAAGCGUUGUUCGGAUUUACUGGGCGUAAAGGGCGCGUAGGCGGCCAGCACAAGUCAGUUGUGAAAUCUCCGAGCUUAACUCGGAAAGGUCAACUGAUACUGCGGGGCUAGAGUGCAGAAGGGGCAACUGGAAUUCUCGGUGUAGCGGUGAAAUGCGUAGAUAUCGAGAGGAACACCUGCGGCGAAGGCGGGUUGCUGGGCUGACACUGACGCUGAUGCGCGAAAGCUAGGGGAGCGAACGGG